ensembl:lncRNA
CAUAUGUCUACAUUGUGUUUGUUAAAUAUGCUUUUGCACAUUCAGUUUAUUAGGAAAUAUAAAUACGUCUGGACUCUGAAAGUGAGCUCAGACACACAUUAGAUCCAAGCACAGCACCUUGAUCAUGUCCAGCACACAGCUGAGGAAGUCAUGGGCAUCCUGCACAGAAAAAAACUGGUUCAGAAGGGGAAUCCACUGAUUCCAGCGUCACCAAACCCUCUGGAAAGAACAAAAGUAAACAGGCUCCCACCGUGUCCAGCUGGAUUCAACUGCCUUGAAAUCGGCACAUCGAUUUUGGCAGUGACGUCAGCGAUGGACUCCACGGCGCAGAAACGGCUGCCAAUUUCAAGCACAUCUGAUUCACAAUGGGGAAUUACAGGUGAAUAAAC